rnacentral:rRNA from 1 species
CCUACGGGGUGCUGCAGUGGGGAAUAUUGGACAAUGGGCGAAAGCCUGAUCCAGCCAUGCCGCGUGUGUGAAGAAGGCCUUCGGGUUGUAAAGCACUUUCAGUGGGGAAGAAAGCCUUGGGGCUAAUACCCUCGAGGAAGGACAUCACCCACAGAAGAAGCACCGGCUAACUCCGUGCCAGCAGCCGCGGUAAUACGGAGGGUGCGAGCGUUAAUCGGAAUUACUGGGCGUAAAGCGCGCGUAGGCGGUCUGAUAAGCCGGUUGUGAAAGCCCCGGGCUCAACCUGGGAACGGCAUCCGGAACUGUCAGGCUAGAGUGCAGGAGAGGAAAGUAGAAUUCCCGGUGUAGCGGUGAAAUGCGUAGAGAUCGGGAGGAAUACCAGUGGCGAAGGCGGCCUUCUGGACUGACACUGACGCUGAGGUGCGAAAGCGUGGGUAGCAAACAGGAUUAGAUACCCUGGUAGUC